rnacentral:lncRNA from 1 species
CUCCCAUUGUGGCCACGAGAUAGCUGCUGUGGCUGCAGACAGCACAUCCUCUCUGCUCCAACUCGGGAGCCUCUGCCCCGUGUCCCAUCGAAAAGUGUCAUGGGUUCUCAUUGGUUCUGACUGGGGCACAUACCCACCUGGGUCACUUCAUAUGGCCUGGGGAAUCCAGUGGACUGGCUUAGGACAGGGUCAUGUGCUCCCCUGGGGAGGGAGAUUGAGAGUGGAGCAGGGGUGACAUCCCCACAAGAAUCAGGAUGCAGUUUGCAGGAGAAGAGAAAAUCAGUGCUGGAAAGCCAAAAAAAAGCAACAAGGCAACAUUACUACUGUUCAUAACAACAGUUGUAAGUCACUCUCAGCCUCACACUUGCUGGGUCCUGUGUAUCCCCACCCCACUGGGCUUGAGACCUUCGAUAGCGAAGAGGAGUUCUGCUCUGCCAACAGAAAAACCGGAGGCAGCAGGGGAGGGAGGAGCUGGCUGUUCCUCCUCAACCCAAGUUGGCUGCUCCCUGCGCAGGGAGGUUGGCACCUGCGGGCCCGGGGUCUCCGCGGGGAAGCUGGCCCAGGCGCCUGCUCCGGGCAGCUGUGGCCGUAACUCUCCACCUCAGUCAGCUCGGCUGCUGUGACAGAAUCUCACAGACGGGCGGCUCAGACAUCAGCCGUUCACUCCUCACAGCCCCGGAGGCUGCGGGUCCAGGACCAAGGUGGCCGCCCGCUCCUUGCCAGUUCCUUUCCUCUCUGACUGUAGAGCUGGUGAGACGGGAGUUCAGGUUUUCCGGAGGAAGUCCGACUGCAGGAGGAGAGGAUGCGGUGCUGCACCGAGACCUGGAGACCAGAGGCAGGUGCACACAGAGGGCCAGUUGGAAGCGGCUGAGAGUUAUGCCCUGGACAGACGUGGUCUCAAUGAGGAAAUACCGCAGCUCCCUUGUUCUUCAUCGGCGACGAUUUGGAGGAACCUUCUGCACUGUCUCCCGGAGGUCCUCAGUGGGAUUAAGCCCCAGUGGCCCAUAGCAGUGACCUGCUCCUGAAGCACCCUGCUGGCUCCCUUCCCUGCCCUGACUCCCUUCCUGUCUCCCCAAGUGUUUCCUGGGAUCAUCUCCAAAAUCCAUGACUUGCACUUGAAUCGUUGUCUUAGAAAUUGCUUCUGGGGGAGACCAACAAAGACACCCCUCAUGCCUCAGACAGCAGUCGAUGUGACCAGCAGCUGAGGGUUCUGAUUUGGGGAAGGGAUUUACAAAAUUCUCAGACUUUCUUAUCAUCUGCUUGAAUGACAUCCUUAUCGGUCUAGAGCCUGACACAGACCAAGGCGUGUCUUUAAUGCGGGGUAAUCACCUCUCUCCUGUGUUUCUUGUGACUGAGCGUGCUAUUUAUUAGUUUUUCCUUUAUAUUCAGCCAUUGCUCUUGAAAUAAACUCACUGUAUCAG